CUGUGAAAGUUGGCUAACGCCGCCAAAGAUAUUCUUGUUUUCGGAUUUCAUGGUGCAUGGAAGAAUGGAGACCAUCAUUUGUUUAAAAUUAGAGUUUGUACUACUGCUUGUUGAGCUUCCUCGGGACAUAUUUUCUGCCACGUAAGCAUUCCAUGCUUUUACCAACAUUGGAACUACGUCACCAUAUUCCCCGGAUGAAACUUCGAUAAC